AUCCACGCAGUUCAAGCUGCAGCCUUUGCUGAUGACGGUCAGGAGGCCAACUGCGCCUGGGGAGCAGCGGGAUCCGGGGAUGGGGCCGCCCUGUGUGCUCACCCGUCUGACCUGCCCCAGGCCUCCUCCUGUCCCCACCCUGCCUAAUGCUCUAGAGUCCCCCUGGGCUGGCCUCAGGAUUGCAAGCAGUGCUUGGGCCUGGUCUUGGCCCUGGUCUCAGCCCUAUCCAGAUGUCCAAGGCAGGUGGACCACCCGCUGAGCGUCAGAAAUGGGUGUCAGAAUGGACUUGGUCUUUGAGAAGAGGCCCAAGGUUCCCUGAGUAAUGUUGCCUCCAGGGACUCCAGAUUUUCCUGUUUGCUCUUGGCCUUCUGCCCACCCACCCCACUGCCAUGGGCCCAAAGCAGCCGGGUUCCCUGGAGAUCCUGUCUUCCACCUAGUGCAGGGCAUGAGGCCGGGGCCAGGACAGCCGGACCAGGCCCUGGGGCUUCUGGGAGCCGACUCACCUUGCAGGGGCCCACCACCACCUUCUGGGGCCCCACACGGUCCCAUGCUGGAACACACAUCCCUGUGUGUAAUUUUUUUUAUUUCAUGCAGCAUUAAUUAAAAAAAUAAAGAUAGCAUGUCACUUGCAAAGCCA